CCGAUAGAGGUUGCGGUGAUUAUGAGUAGCGGUCUUAAUACGCGCGGGUACGCAAGGCCGUGAAAGGAUGAUCCGCCGAAGAUCGCCGGAAGACCCGGCAAGGCGAUCUGGGGCGAUGCAAUAAGAUGCAUCGUACUGUCACGAUUGUGGAGCGCUAUCAU
rnacentral:ncRNA from 1 species